UUUCAAAUUGAGAGUUUGAUCCUGGCUCAGGACGAACGCUGGCGGCGUGCCUAAUACAUGCAAGUCGAGCGAGCUGAAUUCAAAGAUUCCUUCGGGAUGAUUUGUUGGACGCUAGCGGCGGAUGGGUGAGUAACACGUGGGCAAU
rnacentral:rRNA from 1 species